UCUAAAUCCCAUAAAUAAUGAGUGGCCGUAAAUAAGUUAGGGUAAGUUACCAUUUUCUCCCUUCCCCAUAUUACCAUUAUAUCCCUUUGUAUUUUUAAUCUUUUGCAUCAUUACCAUUACACCCCUCGACCUCACCCCUUGUUCAACCCAUUUCUUCCUCUUCCAUCAAACCCCACAACCAGUGCAACAAAAAUGGAUCUUUGGCCUAGCUAGCAUCUCUCCUCUCGAAAUGGAUCGAUUUCUCUGGAGGCAUGAUACAAGACCUCAACGAAGCUGAUCCGCUCGGAGAAACGGUGUCUCGUUAUGUUUCUGUUCAUAGCGUUCGAACGAAGAUGAUGAACGCUCCUCCGUAACCGUUUUUCUUCUUCUUCAGCUUCAGCUUCUGGUUUGCAAGGUUUCAGUUUCUGUUGCAAAUUGAGUUGGCUUUGGAAUUUUCUAUUGUGAGGAAAGUGGAUAUGCUUGAUGGAGUUUCCAUUGUGCGAUCUGAGAAGGUGAAGGAUGAGUUAGUUUUCGAUGGAAAUGACAUUGAGCUUGUUUCUAGGUCAUGUGCCCUAUCAAUCAGAAAUGCCAUGUUAAGAACAAGGAUAUCAGGAAGUUUCUUGAUGGUAUUUAUGUUAGUGAGAAGGGGACAGCAUUAAUAAAGAAGGCGUCUGUCAGCCGGUUCGUGAUGAUUCGUUGUGCGGGAAAGACCCGGAGCGGAACGACUAUUACUGAAGCUUUCGACGAGGACCCGGACUUCAUGCCUGAUCGAGGGAGGGUCGAUGAUAGUAGUGUGGGGUAUGGGUGGUUAGAGUCUUUUGGAGUUGGUUGUUACUGUAAUAGCUCUGAUUCGUUUUGCUUUUGGGACAGGGUAGGUUCCCGAUGCAUGGCUUUUUGUGUGGUUCUCUUACGGAGGGAUCACAGUGAGUCAGUCGGACCAUAGGGGUCUUUGCUUAGGCCAUUUUGAGGCCGACUUUCUCCUAGUGGUUUGUAAUUAUACUUUUUCUCACUCACACUUCUGGAUCUGUAAAUAUUUGCCUACGGGCACACUACUUUGGAGUCACUGCGAGUGUGUGUGACGUGGAAGUGCAGCUGAGGCUGUACAUGUUUAUAUUUGAUGUAUAUUGGUUAGUUUAGUAGUUGAGUUUUGUCUUUA